rnacentral:rRNA from 1 species
CCUACGGGAGGCAGCAGUGGGGAAUAUUGGGCAAUGGGCGCAAGCCUGACCCAGCAACGCCGCGUGAAGGAAGAAGGCUUUCGGGUUGUAAACUUCUUUUAAGAGGGAAGAGCAGAAGACGGUACCUCUUGAAUAAGCCACGGCUAACUACGUGCCAGCAGCCGCGGUAAUACGUAGGUGGCAAGCGUUGUCCGGAUUUACUGGGGGUAAAGGGCGUGCAGCCGGGAAGACAAGUCAGAUGUGAAAUCCCGCGGCUCAACCGCGGAACUGCAUUUGAAGCUGUUUUUCUUGAGUACCGGAGAGGUCAUCGGAAUUCCUUGUGUAGCGGUGAAAUGCGUAGAUAUAAGGAAGAACACCAGUGGCGAAGGCGGAUGACUGGACGGCAACUGACGGUGAGGCGCGAAAGCGUGGGGAGCAAACAGGAUUAGAUACCCUUGUAGUC